UUUUUUUUUUUUUUUUUUUUUUUUUUUGCUUUUUGGGCCCUCACUCACAGUAUGUGGAAGUUCCCAGGCUAGGGGAUGAAUUAGAGCUACAGCUGCCUGCUGACAGCAUGGCCACAGCAACAUGGGAUCUGAGCCAUUCUGCCACCUACACCACAGCUUAGGGCAAUGCCAGAUCCCCGACCCACUGAGCAAGGCCGGGGAUUGAACCCAUGUCUUCAUGGAUACUAGUUGGAUUUGUUUCCGCAACGCCACAGCAGGAACUCCCUAUCCUUAUUUCUAAUACCAAUAAGGGUACUACAAGUACUCUUUUGCUUAGGGCUUCUUUCACUAAGCUCCAUGUUUAUAAGAUAAAUUACUGUUGUAAGCUGCAGUGCUACCCUUCAUUGUCAUUGCUGUAUAAUAUUCCAUUAUGUGACUAGAUCACAAUUGGUUUAUUUAUCCCUCUGCGGAUUAAUGUUUAGAUUACUUCAGUUCUGGAUUAUGAUAAAUAGUACUAAUGAAAACAUUCUUGCAUAUGAUUUUCUGUCAACAUGUGUACACUUCUCUUUUGGAUACCUAGGACUAGAAUUACUGAGUCAUAGGGAACGAAAAUAUCCAACUUUAGUCAAUAUCGUCACUUUUCCAAAGUGGUUGUGACAAUAUAUACUCCCACAAAUAGUGUACAGAGUUCCUGUUGCUCAAUAAGUUUACUCGCUAUUCUUGCUAUUAAUUAGUAUCAUUGUUUUUAUUGGUUAGUUCCUACUAGCUAGCAUACCUAUUGUUCAACAUGUUCUGAAGAGUUCCAUCUUUUACAUUUGAACCCUUCUGAUAAAGGUACAGUGACACUGUGAUAUUGCAUUGUAAUCAAAAUUUUCAUUUUCCAAUGACUGAUGAAGCUGAGCAGCCUUUCAUGAGUUUACUGGUCAUUUGGAUAUUAUACACUUUUAGUGAAAUUCUCGUUCAAGCUGUUUGCCCAUGAUUUACUACUGAAUGGCCUUUUACUUAUGGAGCAUUCUUUAUGCAUUUUGUAGAGUCCUUUGGUUAGCAUAUAUGGAGCAAAUAUCUUCUUACUCACUUUUAUAUAGUUCUAUAGAAACAAAUGUGGUGGGAUCAUGCCUCUGAAACUUCUUUUAUCUGUGCAAAUUUAGGUGAGUUAACAAGCCUCUCUGAACCUCAGUUUUCUCUAUAAAAAGUGGAAAGGAUAACCUUCACCCAACCUACAUCAUCUUGUCACUGGGAGGAAAAUGAGACACUACAUACACAGCAGCUUGAAGAAUUCAUAAGUAUCCAGGAAAAGAACUAUAACUGUGGUUUGCGACUAUUGUAGAUACCUUCUAUUACUAUUAGUGGUAAGUAAAUUGUCAUCAGAGGAGAAAACAAUCACAUUCUAUGAUGGGUAGAAAAAGGAUUUAGGAAUAAAUCAUCCUAUGAGGAUGAUCUCUUUAGUUCACAUCCCUUGGAGAAAGAACGUUUAGUUACACAUCCCACGCCGAAAAGGAAUCUUGUAAGGCCGAAAUAACGCUCCCAGAUGUGAGCCUCAGCACUCACACAAGUGUUUCCAGAAGUGGACAAUGCCAUUCCUUAUUUCUCAUUUCCUCUCAGUUCCCUUUCUUUCCAAUAAUAUAUCCAACAGGCAAGGAUGUCUUCCCCAAGAAGGUGGUACCACUUCUCAAGAACCUGAGCCCAUGACAAGAUGUGUUUCCCAUCCAUUUUCUUUCCUUAAACCAAAGAGCAAUUGACUUUUGUUGAGAAUUUAGUGAUAUAAGGGCUGUGGGGGAUAUAUAUAAUUGUAGGGAAUAGUAGAAGGUCAGAUGCUAACACACUGAAAUCAUCUCAUCCUAUCUCCUAAUUUUACAGCUGAGGAAACAGAGACUUAGAGAGAUCAAGUUACUCACCUAAGGAUGUACAUGAAGUGAGUGAAGGACAAAAACCUACAACUUUGCUUUACAGGCUAUGUUCUCUGGAGGACUGUGUCUGUGUUGUUCAUUGUCACAGCACAUGGCACACCAAGCACAAUGCCUUUUAAACAGCCUUCCUGUCAUGUCUCAAACAACCAAGCUCAUUCGUAUCGGAAAAGAGAACCAAUAAAUGGAAAAGGCUUGGCACUUUAAAAAGUUUAUAGAAUUACAUAAACAAGCAAUUGUUUGGGCAUACACACAGCUAGGAGAACGUGUACAAAUGAUUAACUAUGGGAUACGUCUCAUGUUCCUCAGAGAAUCCUUCCAAAACCACCCACACCCUGAGACAGUGUACACAUAGCAAUAUUGUUCUUAAUUCUAUUAUAGCUGUGUGUGUUGUAUCAUCUCAUAUUAUAGAUAGCUAUUCAUGUGUUUCAAUCCACUAAACUGUGCCUAGUCCAGACCUAGUGGGUGAUCAUAAAUAGUUGUUACACAAAUGACUCAAUCAACCAACUAAUAGUGAACAGUGGAUUUCUCUGUUAUUUUAGCAUCUCAACCUAUAUUCCCAGGGCUGUAAUUAGGGAUAUUAAGAUCCCUGAAAUUGGAAUUCCUGCUGUGGUACAGCAGGUUAAGGAUCCAGCAUUGCCACAGCUGUGGCAUAGGUCACCGAUGAGGCUCAGAUUCAAUCCCUGGUCCGCCCGAACUUCCAUAUGCUGCAGGUGCAGCCAAAAAAGAAAAUAAUAACAACAAAAAGACCCCUGAAAUUGUGGCUCAGUAAGUAUGUUGUCUCUGGGGGCAGGAUGCAUACACAUAUACGUGCAUACACAUAUCUGUUUCUCUUGUUAACUUCGAAUAUGAAAAAAACAAAGAUUAUAAGAAACUUUGUUAUUUUGAUGAAGUACAGCAACUCUGCCAAGUCUGUUUUCUUUUUCCUUUCUUUACAUUCAUUGAUUCAUCCAUUCAUUUACAUAUUUUUUCAAUUAAAGAAUUACUCUUGAGAAAAGAUCAGCUGGUGAGAAUUGUUUUGUCCCCAGGGGGACAUGUGCCAAUGUCUGGAGAUAUUUUUGGUUUUCAUAACUUAGUUCUCCAAGUUGCUACUGGAAUAGUGGAUUAAAGCCAGUGAUGUGGUUACACAUUGGGAGGGCACACGACUAGCCCCCCUCAAAGACACAUGCAACCCCAAAUGCCAGUAGUGCCAGGUCAAGAAAUCUGCUAUAUAUCUACUGUAACUCAAAUACUGUCCACUGCCCUGUGUAUCCAGAAGAAGACUGUCACUGAUUUAAAAGAAAGCAUAUAUACACACUACUGUAUAUAAAAUAGACAAUUAACAAGGACCUACUGUAUAGCACAGGGAAAUCUACUCAGUAGUUUGUAAUAACCUAUGUGGGAAAAAGGAAUGGAUAUAUGUGUAUGUAUAACUGAUUCACGUUGCUGUACACCUGGAAUGAAUACCACAUUGUAAGUCAACUAUAGUCCACUAAAAUAUUUUAAAAAAAUAAAAAAAAAGAGAGAGAGUACUGGUCUCAUCCAAGGACAAGAAAUAUACACUUAUAUAUUACAUAUACAAUAGAUACAUAUAAUAGAGCUUUCCUUCUUUAAUCUUUGCAGAGAAAUAAACCUGCCUUGUUCAUCUGUAGAAAGUCACAAUGGUCAUUUGAAUCUAACAUUUGAAAUUUGAACCAUUCAGGUCAUCCAACAACCACUUUACCGUAUGUCUCAUCGUUGCCCGGCACAGUGCUGUGCCAAAAGAGAAGGUAAAAGAGAGAAAUGAUUCACCUUGAAUGGAUGCUUCCCAUUUCUCAAAGCAUCUUACCAUGUGACCUCACAACUUCCCUUUAAGGUAAGGAGUUUGAUAAUUGUUGACCCAAUCCAACAGGUAAAGAAACUAAGACACAGAGAUAACACAGAGUAUCUUCUAAAAUUAAAGAGUUCUCUCCGUAAUACACAAGCGAAGCCAUGGCUUGUGUAAAACUGAAAAUAAGAAUUAGGGUGAAACCCAUUAAAUGGCAUAGAUAUGUUUUAUAGUUGCCUAUCUGGAACCAAGAAGGAGGUAGAAGGCU
rnacentral:lncRNA from 1 species